UAGGGAAUCUUCGGCAAUGGACGAAAGUCUGACCGAGCAACGCCGCGUGAGUGAAGAAGGUUUUCGGAUCGUAAAACUCUGUUGUUAGAGAAGAACAAGGACGUUAGUAACUGAACGUCCCCUGACGGUAUCUAACCAGAAAGCCACGGCUAACUACGUGCCAGCAGCCGCGGUAAUACGUAGGUGGCAAGCGUUGUCCGGAUUUAUUGGGCGUAAAGCGAGCGCAGGCGGUUUCUUAAGUCUGAUGUGAAAGCCCCCAGCUCAACCGGGGAGGGUCAUUGGAAACUGGUGGACUUGAGUGCAGAAGAGGAGAGUGGAAUUCCAUGUGUAGCGGUGAAAUGCAUAGAUAUAUGAAGGAACACCAGUGGCGAAGGCGGCUCUCUGGUCUGUAACUGACGCUGAGGCUCGAAAGCGUGGGGAGCAAACAGG
rnacentral:rRNA from 1 species